CCAAGAACUCCGGCAACUGCCCCAACCGCCAGCCCCGUCCCCAUCCCACCAAACUUGCUCCCUUUCUCCUUCUCCGCCGUAUAACCUGACUGUCCGUACGAAGCGGUUCCGUACGGCUGCGGUGGCGCGUAAGGGUAAUCGUAAACAGGUUGCGGCGGCGCGUGAGUGUAUGGUUCACCAUAAACAGGUUGCGGUGGCGCGUGAGUAUAACCGUAUGGCGGCGCGUGGUAAGAACCCGGAGACGGUUGAUACCGAGGCUCUCUGACGGUGACGGUGACGUCGAGUUUGCCGUGGGGUCUGCCGGAGGGGCGUUUGAGUUUGAGGGUUUUCUC
rnacentral:lncRNA from 1 species